GAUGAACGCUGGCGGCGUGCCUAAUGCAUGCAAGUCGAGCGAACAGACGAGGCGCUUGCUCCUCUGACGUUAGCGGCGGACGGGUGAGUAACACGUGGAUCACCUACCUAUAUGACUGGUAUAACUUCGGGACACCGGAUCUAAUCCCGUAUAAUAUAUUGCACCGCAUGGUUCAAUAGUGAAAGACGGUUUUGCUGUCACUUAUCGAUGGAUCCGCGCCGCAUUAGCUAGUUGGUAAGGUAACGGCUUACCAAGGCAACGAUGCGUAGCCGACGUGAGAGGGUGAUAGGCCACACUGGAACUGAGACACGGUCCAGACGACUAAGGGAGGCAGCAGAAGGGAAUCUUACGCAAUGGGCGAAAGUAUGACGGAGCAAGGCCGAGUGAGUGAUGAAGGUCUUCGGAGCGUAAAAAUCUGUUAUGGGGGAAGAACAAAUGUGGAAGGAGACAUGCACGGAGUGACGGUAACGGAUCAGAAAGCCACGGCUAACUACGUG
rnacentral:rRNA from 1 species